UUAAAUUCAGGGGGUCUUCCCACUUCAUCUGAGGUCUAAUUCAUAGAUGUGCAAUGCCGUUCCCUCAAAAAUUAGACUUGCGCCUAAAGCUUAAGUUCACAACCUUGCUCAUUUGUUUCUUUUGACCGACAAUGACAUAGGGUUUAUGGAUUGGAUUCACAGUUAAGUGAAAGCAACUUGCCACGAACACACACAGUCGU
rnacentral:misc_RNA from 1 species